UACGUAGGGUGCAAGCGUUGUCCGGAAUUAUUGGGCGUAAAGAGCUCGUAGGCGGUCUGUCGCGUCUGCUGUGAAAACCUGGGGCUUAACCCCGGGCCUGCAGUGGGUACGGGCAGACUAGAGUGUGGUAGGGGAGACUGGAAUUCCUGGUGUAGCGGUGAAAUGCGCAGAUAUCAGGAGGAACACCGAUGGCGAAGGCAGGUCUCUGGGCCGAUACUGACGCUGAGGAGCGAAAGCGUGGGGAGCGAACAGG
rnacentral:rRNA from 1 species